rnacentral:rRNA from 1 species
CCUACGGGUGGCAGCAGUGGGGGAUAUUGCACAAUGGGGGAAACCCUGAUGCAGCGACGCCGCGUGGGUGAAGAAGUAUUUCGGUAUGUAAAGCCCUAUCAGCAGGGAAGAAAGAAGACGGUACCUGACUAAGAAGCCCCGGCUAACUACGUGCCAGCAGCCGCGGUAAUACGUAGGGGGCGAGCGUUAUCCGGAUUCACUGGGUGUAAAGGGAGCGUAGACGGCCGUGCAAGCCAGGAGUGAAAGCCCGGGGCCCAACCCCGGGACUGCUCUUGGAACUGUGCGGCUGGAGUGCGGGAGGGGCAGGCGGAAUGCGUGGUGUAGCGGUGAAAUGCGUAGAUAUCAGGAGGAACACCGGCGGCGAAGGCGGCCUGCUGGACCGCGACUGACGUUGAGGCUCGAAAGCGUGGGGAGCGAACAGGAUUAGAUACCCCAGUAGUC